CUCUUCCAAUGCCUGGGUCUCGCAUCAGAUAAAUAAACUGGAGAUUCUCUUCCUGAGCAUUAGUUGCUCCCUCUUCUAAUGAAUGUCAGUCUGAAAUGAGGGGAACUUUGCACUCAGCGCAAGAGGCAUUUUUGUUGAGGUGCUUUUUUCUUCCCCAAGUCAUCGUCCUACUCAGCCAACCUUUAAUCCGAUUGGAAGCCCUAAAAUUCUAACAUAAUUUAGAAGCAUUAAAAAAAGAAGAAUGACGGAAGGAGGCUGUUCAUUUGUCCCGGCUCGCCUAGUGCUGUGUUGAAAAUUCCAUUCACAUGGCUACUUGGCUCUUUUUCUGCUUAUGAAAAAUCUUAGGCAGUCCCCGAGGGCAUCUUCUAAGCUUCGUGGGUUUCCCCAUGCCAUUUUGGUCGAAGGUAUUUAUGUAAAAUAUAUUGCUUUGUUGAUCUGAUAACAGAUAACCCCGGGAAGUUCAUCCGUCUAACUUGGCUCACGGAAAUGUCAGAAUGACUCAGCCGGACGGUUAAUUUUAGUAGUCUGGGGUUAUAAACUCACUUCAAAAGACUUUGAAACAGGUUUGGCAUUCCUUUCCCAUAAGAAAGCCUGUAUAGAUUUGACCUUUGGAUUUAAGCCAGCUCUGGUCUUCUUUCCUGCAGCCGGGCAGAGAGGACAUUCCUAACCCAUUUUUGACUCACUGUCCCCCCCACCACCAGUGUCACCACAAAAUGCUGAAACAUCAAGUUAAGAGAAGGGUCAGAACGAGGAAUGUAGGGAAUAGUAGAAUCCUUUUGUUAGAAUGGACUGGCCUCAGAGGAGGGUAUAGCUCAGUGGUAGAAUAUGUGUGUAGCAUGCACAAGGCCAGGCUCAGUCCCCAGUACCUCCAGUAAGAAAUAAACCAGCAAACCUAACUCCUUCCCUCAAAAAAAAAGAAAAGAAAAGAAAAGAGAAACACAUUAAACACAUUAGAAUGGACUGGCUUCGUUAAGAUAUAGAAGAAGGCACCCGGGGAAACACACUCCCUGCACGUCUUGGAGAGAGAGGAUAAUCACUUUGCUGUUUGAAUUGAAUUAUGCAGUAAUGUGAAGGGUAAAUCCAGAGUCAGGACUUGCAGUGCUAAAGUUCAAAGCCACUUAAUGAGAAACAGAGCUCCUCACCAUCUCCAAAAGCAUUUCCUAAGCAACCGCUUGCCUGCGGUGCUGCAAAGAGAAAUGACAUAGACCCGGCCCAUGACCUUCAGAAAGCCAGAAAAAGAUUUAGAAAUAACACGCUUAGAGAAAAUAUUGCCAAGUCAGUACAGAAAUCCUCUGGUAAGUCUCCAUUUAGAAAAACCAUCAUCAAGGAAAACAAUCGAUAAGGUUAUAUCCAGAGCCCGUUCCAUUCAAGGGACUUAAUGCACACAAAGUUGUACUGAUACAAAGGACCUUUUCUGAUUCACCUGGGAGUUCUUUGCCGUAGGGUUGUAUAUUUGUCAAAAUGGGCCAUGGGAGUGAAUCGAAGAAAUAUCUAGCACAGCUGGGCACCAGGGCAAGUAUUUUCAUUGUGUGUGUGUGUUUGAACUAGAUUAUUCUAUGAAUUUCCCUUAGAAUAUGAAGUGAGAAGCACCAUCUAGUCUGUUCAAUUUUGGGGCCUCACUAACGUCAUGUUUCUUGAGAAGGUAUCAUGUGUCAGACACUAAACGUAGUAUGAUACAUCACAUCCCCUCAGUUAAUUCUUACAAUCCCAUAGGAUGGAUUUCAUCACCCUCAUUUUCUGAGAGAGGAAACAAGUGUGAAGUGGUUAAGUAACUCGCCUGAGAUCACAGAGCUGCUAAGUGCUCUGACAGAGGGAAGAUCUGAGCCCUUGUCUGUGGACCUACAGAUCUAGGGCUCCUAGCCUGCACACGUACUGCCCCAAACGACAUGAUAAGCACUUUAUUACACUUGGAAAAAGAGAUAAUUUAGGGCUAUCGUGAGACAGUUUUAUUCAUUCUAUUUUGUAUGUGGCUCUUAUUGGUGAAGAAGUUGAUAGUAUUUGAUCAUAUAUUUCUCUACAGUUAUAGGCCUAUAGUUAUUUAGCAGAUGUAUUCAUUAGAGUCUGAAUUAGUGAGUUCUGCUGUUUGUCCAGAAUGCCUUAGUUUACUGAAUCACAAUUAGUCAGGGCCAAAAAGUGAAUUUGUUCUGAUAUGUCUUCCUUUCCUGAACUAGUAAUUGACGAAAUGAUGACUAUUUCUGCAUUCACCUUGUAAAUAAAAUCAACAGACUAAGAGUGUGAGGCAUUCUGUGCACAGAUAAUCUUCUCUCCCUGGGGCUGUAAAUUAUUGGUAUGGAUAGACCAGGCUGGAAUGACAGGCUGAUUUGUUAAUUCUGGAAAAGCAUCAGGUGCCACUCUUACAGCUUCUAGAUUUCUAUUUCAUUUUAGUUUAGCAAAUGUAGUUAGCCUUAGAGACUGCCUUUAUCAUUCACUGGUUGUUUUAUUCCUUCAUACAUUUAACCCAACAACAUGGGUCAUUUUUCAACAGGUCAAACUAAAUUCCCUGGGAAUUUAGCCUGACGAAUCACGGGGAGAACUGGUCUUGACGAGACGUGACCGUUUAUCCUCAUCAUUUUAAUGGGUUUCUUUUACCAGUCUCACUUCAGGCAAAAGCAGAUAUUAUCAUUAACCUGCCUGCACUAUGGAAAUGGAAAAAUUCAGUGCCACCUAAUGUCAUGAACCCAGGAAGUCAGAAAUAGGUCUUGGGAAUAACUCUAAGUCUUAAUAAACAGGGCUGCAUGAUCCAUUCAAAAAUACCAUUUAAAAUCCAGUUUUCUUAAGAUAUGAAAUCUACUUAAAAAAAGACUCAUGCUCCACACCCUUUUUUAUUUAGAAGCAUUAGUUUAUGUUUCUGAUGUUUUAGGUCCUGCUCUUUAAAUAACUUGGCUUUCUUUUUUCCCUUUUUGUUGGCUCAGUACUUUCCCAGGGUAAGUGAUAAAUAAAGCUGGAGUGUUGGUUGCAAAUUCCCUUCCUCUCUCUUCCUUCUCUCCUACCUCAGAUUUAUCUGGGGACUAGAGCAUCCCACAGUGGGCUAGGACACCACUCAGCAUCACAUAGAAUGGCAAGGGAUUGGGAAACACUUACAGCUUGAAGGUCUUCUGAACUUAAAGCUCUCACUUUUACCCUAAGCAGGGGCCUUGAAUUAGGGACAAGAACUUGAAUUUGCAAUGCCACCUUCUUUCUCAAGAACCCAUCAUGACAAGUGAUUACAGUUCUUGAUAUAUCAUAUGUCAUUAAAGAUAAAUCAUGGGACUGAUUGGAGAGAAAACCCUUGCGUAACUUCUCAGAGACUUUUCUCCUCUCUCUCCCUCCUCCUCUCCCCACACCUGUCGGAUAAGGAUUCUAUUGAGCAUCUUUCUGAAGGCUUUUAGGUUUACCUGACCAUCCCCUAGUAGCCAUUUAUCAAGUAGCAGGAGGAAACCCAGCCUCUGGCCAGUGAGAUUAAAACAUUUAAACACUUUUGAAUUCAUUGAAUUUCUUAACUUGGCCUUUAGAAAGGGAGCAUCCUAGUUGUGCGGACAGAAAUGUAAAUUAACUGCUCUGUGCUGUAAAGACGAAGCUAGAACACACGGGUUCCAGCUGGGGAGACGGAGGUCUGGGAAUGCUCUUGGGAGGUGAGGUUUUUGGUUGGGCCUAGAGGUUGUGUUAGUUGUCAGCAGACCAGAGCAUGUGAGAGUAUUCCAUUCUUCAAGGAAACUACAGUAGAAGAGGUUCAGCUGGGUUAAAAGUCAUGUUUGUUUUCUGUGAAUUUUUAAAAGUCCAAGGUGAUUUUGUGUGUGUGUGUGUGUGUGUGUGUGUGUGUGUAGAUAGGUGUAGUGCGAAGAGAUGAAAUGAGAGAAGUAGAGUGGGUCCAAGUCAUAAAGGACCAGGGGAGAUACAGUGAUGUGUCUGGAUUUGACUCUACCAGCUGAGUAGAGCCAUUGGAAGUCCUGGGAUAGACAAGUGACACAAUCUACUCUAAGCUUUAGGAAGGUACCUGGUGAUGGUGUAGAGGCCCAGAUUGAAGGGAAGAGGCUAGAGGCAAGCAGAUCAGAUAGGAAUCCUCUCAAUAUCCUCGGUGAGAGAUUUUUUAGUGACCUACAAUAGGAGGAAAUUGGGAUUCACUGUGAAGCUGGGACCAAAUUUAGAAACUUGAUUGAAUGCGAACUAUGAAGAUGAAAGAGACAUCAAAGAUGAUGGUGCUUCUGAACUGUGGUGCUUUCAAAUGACCUGGAGAACAUAAGAGUUUAGUUUGGGACUUGCUGGCCUUCAAAUGCUGUCAGCUGCAGGUGGAAACGUGUCAGACCAAAAGAACUGAAGGCUGGAAAUAGAGUUUAGGGAGUUAACACACGAAGCAAGGGCUAGAGACAACAGAUCAAGUGAAAUUAAUGAUGGAAAGAACAUAAAGGAAGAAAAGGGCUGGAAGAGAACUUUGAGAAAUGCCAUAGUUAGAGGGGUUGUUAGAAGAGAGAAAGAAGAGGACAGGUGAGAGGCAGAGCAGGUAAACCUCUGAGAAUCACAUCAGAUGUAACAAGGGAAGAGAAAGUUUCAAGGACAAGGGUGAAUAACUAUUGCUAGUAAUGGAACUACCCCUGGGGAGUCUGCUUUCUCUGUGGAUCAGGCUCAUGAGUUAAAUUUACUCACACUGUAACUCUGAGUCACAAGGAAUUCCUUGGAUUGCUAAUUCCCUUCCUUAUCACACAAUUUACCAGCUGGAUAUUCUCCCAUCUCGUCCAAACCUACAACCAUCCUAAGACUCAAUUAUAAGUCUAAUUCAUCUUUUAAUAACCUUUAAUGAAAAAGAAUAUGAAAACAAAUAUAUGUAUAUAUAUGCAUGAUUGGGACAUCAUGCUGUACACCAGUAAUCGACACAUUGUAACCAACUAUGUACUUCAGUUAAAAGAAAAAAAGUCUAACUCUUCAGCCACUGCUGCUGAAGAUGAUUCCUGUUCUUUCUUCUCUGAAUCCCUGUAGUUGAUAUUGUUAGCUCUCUUUUCACAUGGGGAUGUUUUAUUUCCCCAAAUGCACUGCAUGAUUUUCAGGACAAAGAAUGUAUUUUAAACUCAUUCCUUUCUGCCUGAGAAUCUAGCAAAAUGCUUUGCAUAAAGAAGGUACUCGAAGCUUUUUUUCUUAGGAAAAGCUAUGAUGUGAAAUUUGGUAAUAUGCAUUAGGUAUCAUAAAAUGGUUAGUUACCUCCUUUGACACAUGAAUACCUCCUCCAGGAUUAUGUUCUAUAAUAAUAAUCUGAAAUGGGAAAAUGUCAUAGGUACAAACGUACUUGUCAAAAGAGUUCAAAGGUUCAGUAUUGUAAUAAUAGAACGUUUAUGUGAAUUGUGUAAGUAUUUCAUUCAAUGGAAUCAUACAGUUUUUUAAAAUUAUGAUGACUAUUUACCAACUUGGAAAUGUGGUUUUUUUAAAGCAUGGCACAAAAUUAAUUUGUGCACUAUGGUUUCAAGUAUAUAAAAUGUACUUUUGGAAAAUAUGAGAAGAGAAUAGAUUAAAAUGAUAAAUUUUAACACAGAGAGGUAGAAUUGAAAGUGGUUUCUUUCCUUUAUAAAAGCUGCCCUAAUAUUAAAUUGUUGUUAUAAGUCAUCUCACAUAAAACAAUGUUUUGUUUCCUAUGAAGGACCUGAUACUGUGCAGUGAGCAUGGAAGGUGUCCUCUUUAAAUAUAUGUCAUUACCAGGCUGUUGGAAUCCAUCAAUAUAGUUCAUGGUAUAGUGACCGUCACCAUUGAACAAUACCGCCAGUUUGUUUCAGCUCAUAAUUUUGGGCAAGGAGGCCAUCUUGUCCUUUAACUGUUGGCAGUUCUAAGGUUAAAAGAGAAAGAAAAAAAUGAGAGGAGAGUUAAGAGUGUGAAAAUCCAAGAAGAGGGGAGGCUGUGAAAGAAAUAAGAGGAGACAAGAAAAGACCAAGGGCAGAGAAGACAAAUUUUUUCACUGUGGGUCUGCCUCUCUCUGAUGUUCUUUUUCUUCACUUUUUUCUCUCUUCCCUGCUGCUUGGUGGAGCCUUUCAAAUAGAAGCUCUGUAUUUUCAAAAGCUGUGACUAUUUUUGAUCUUUCCUCUAAUCCAUAUUCUGAGGUGGUCUUGGCAAGAAAGAGACCCACUGGUCUUGGAUCACAGAGGGUACUAGACCAGAAGUGGGUGGUGCAGCAUCACAGGCAAAGACAAGGACAAAAUAACGGAGUAAACAGAAAACCAGCAGUGGAAGGGGGAGUUGAGUGUAGACUCAUUGGGAAACUAUAGGAUGCCUCUGGGGGCACCAUUUAGCUCUGAGCUUGAAAAAGACUGGUGUGGAUGAGCUGAGUCUCUCUGCUACCUAGGCCUGCCUAAAAAUUCCAGAACAAAUGAACAAAUGAUUUUUUAAAUUAAAGUACAGUUUACAAUGUUGUGUCAAUUUCUGGUGUACAGCAUAAUGCUUCAGUCAUACGUAUACAUACAUAUAUUCCUUUUCAGAUUCUUUUUCCUUAUAUGUUACUACAGGAUAUUGAAUAUUGUUCCCAGUGCUGUACAGAAGACACUUAUUCAUCUACUUUAUAUAUAGUAGUUAGUAUCUGUAAAUCUCAAACUCCCAGUUUAACCCUUCCCCCACCCUCACCCUUUUCCCCACUAGUAACCGUAAGUUUGUUUUCUAUCUGUGAGUCUGAACAAAUGAUUCUUGAUUCCAAUACCACCCAAACUGGACAGCUCCUUCCAGAAGGUGCAUUUUAUCUGCAUAUGAAUCGGCUCUGGAUGGUUCAGAGUGGCAGACUUUCUCCGUUGGGCUAUUGAAGAAGGCAGCCCACAUUUCUAGAGGUGCAGCAGGCCCAGCAGGGUGCCCCAGCAUGGACACUAAUGUGCAUUUUACCUAUUCACUCGUUCUAGGUAAUCUAUAAAGGGCAGUGAAACUUAAAGAGAUAUCAACAUGAAGAGAUGCUUAUUUUUUCUGACAUCAAAUUAAAAAACCUCUUUAUUCAGGUUUCAAGGCUGAAUCUGAAAGGCAUGGAACCAAGAUUCUUUUUUUAAAUGGCAUUCUUAUAGUAUAAUAUAUAUUAGAGAUUAUAACAUAUAAUAAUGAAACAUUAAAUAGGUACAACCAUCUUAGAGGUUUGAGUUGCUCCUAAGUUGAUUAAUGGGUUUCUAGAGGAAAACACCUUUUGCAGGCAUACCAUUUGCCCAAUUGUGGAUCUGCCCGACUAGUCUGAAAGGGCACAGCAGCGAGUAGGACUCCCCCUGGCUCCAGGCUCUUGACAGUCCUCUCCAAAAAAAAUGUUUUCUCCCCUCCAGGGAGAUCAAAGUUUUUCAUUGCACUUAGCAGAGAGGGCAGAGUUGUGCUUUCCUCAAAUCUCUUGACGUCAACCCAGAG